rnacentral:rRNA from 1 species
UUUGAGUGAGGUGGCGGACGGGUGAGGUAACACGUGGUAACCUGCCCUAAAGUGGGGAUAACAUUUGGAAACAGAUGCUAAUACCGCAUAAAACCUAACACCGCAUGGUGUAGGGUUGAAAGAUGGUUUCGGCUAUCACUUUAGGAUGGACCCGCGGUGCAUUAGUUAGUUGGUGAGGUAAAGGCUCACCAAGACCGUGAUGCAUAGCCGACCUGAGAGGGUAAUCGGCCACACUGGGACUGAGACACGGCCCAGACUCCUACGGGAGGCAGCAGUAGGGAAUCUUCCACAAUGGACGAAAGUCUGAUGGAGCAACGCCGCGUGAGUGAAGAAGGUUUUCGGAUCGUAAAACUCUGUUGUUGGAGAAGAAUGUAUCUGAUAGUAACUGAUCAGGUAGUGACGGUAUCCAACCAGAAAGCCACGGCUAACUACGUG